UUUUACUGAAAAAGCUUUGCCGACAUGCGU
rnacentral:piRNA from 1 species